UCUCCUUUCCUCCUCUCUCCUCUCUCCUUUCCUCUCCACUCUCCGCUGUCCUCUCUUCCUCUCCUCCUCUCCUCUCCUCUCCUCUCUUCUCUUCUCUUCUCUCCUCCUCCUCUCCUCUCUUCCUCUCCUCCUCUCCUCUCCUCCCCUCUCCUCUCCUCUCCUCCUCUCUCCUCUCUCCUUUCCUCUCCACUCUCCACUGUCCUCUCUUCCUCUCCUCCUCUCCUCUCCUCUUCUCCUCUCAUCCUCUCCUCUCCACUCUCUUCUCCUCUCCUCUCCACUCUUCUCCUCUCCUCUCCUCUCCUCCUCUCCACUCUCCUCUCCUCUCCUCUCCUCUCCUCUCUACUCUCCUCUCCACUCUCCAUUCUCCACUCUCCUCUCCUCUCCUCUCCUCUCCUCUCUUCUCUUCUCUUCUCUUCUCUUCUCUUCUCUCUUCCUCUCCUCCUCUCCUCUCCUCUCCUCUCCACUCUCCACUGUCCUCUCUUCCUCUCCUCUCCUCUCCUCUCCCUCUCCUCCUCUCCCCUCUCUUCUCCUCUCCUCUCCUCUCUCCUCUCCUCUCUACUCUCCUCUCCUCUCCUCUCCACUCUCCAUUCUCCACUCUCCACUCUCCACUCUCCUCUCCUCCUCCUCUCCUCUCCUCUCCUCUCUUCUCUUCUCUUCUCUUCUCUUCUCUCCUCUCCUCUCCACUCCCCUCUCCUCUCCUCUCUUCUCUCCUCUCCUCUCCUCUCUUCUCUUCUCUCCUCUCCUCUCCUCUCCUCCUCUUCUCUUCUCUUCUCUUCUCUUCUCUCCUCUCCUCCCUCUCCUCUCUUCCUCUCCUCCUCUCCUCUCCUCCCCUCUCCUCUCCUCCUCUCUCCUUUCCUCUCCACUCUCCACUGUCCUCUCUUCCUCUCCUCUUCUCCUCUCAUCCUCUCCUCUCCACUCUCUUCUCCUCUCCUCUCCACUCCUCCUCUCCUCUCCUCCUCUCCACUCUCCUCUCCUCUCCUCUCCUCUCUACUCUCCUCUCCACUCUCCAUUCUCCAUUCUCCAUUCUCCUCUCCUCUCCUCUCCUCUCCUCUCUUCUCUUCUCUUCUCUUCUCUCUUCCUCUCCUCCUCUCCUCUCCUCUCCUCUCCUUUCCUCUCCACUCUCCACUGUCCUCUCUUCCUCUCCUCUCCUCUCCUUUCCUCUCCACUCUCCACUGUCCUCUCUUCCUCUCCUCUCCUCUCCUCUCCUCUCCUCCUCUCCUCUCCUCCUCUCCCCUCUCCACUCUCUUCUCCUCUCCUCUCCUCUCCUCUCUACUCUCCUCUCCUCUCCUCUCUCCUCUCCUCUCCUCUCCUCUCCACUCUCCAUUCUCCAUUCUCCACUCUCCUCUCCUCUCCUCUCUUCUCUUCUCUUCUCUCCUCUCCUCUCCACUCCCCUCUCCUCUCUUCUCUCCUCUCUUCUCUUCUCUUCUCUCCUCUCCUCUCCUCUCCUCCUCUCCUCUCCUCUCCUCUCCUCUUCUCUCCUCUCCUCUCCUCUCUUCUCCUCUCCUCUCCUCUCCUCUCCUCUCCUCUCCACUCUACUCUACUCUACUCUACUCUCCUCUCUUCUCCGCUCUCCUCUCUUCUCCUUUCUCUUUUCAGCUCUCCUUUCUCCUCUCAUCCCCUCUUCUCUUCUCUCUGCUACCCCCCACCAUCCACUGUGAGUGUGUGUAUGUCUGUCUGCAUGAGUGUGCAUCUGUGUGUGUGUGUGUGUAUGUGCAUGCAUGAGUGUGUCCGUGUGUGUGUGUGUGCAUGCGUGUACAUUUAAGACGAAGAAAUGUCAUGAAUGCAGUGUUUGUCAGUAUGGUUUCUUAUUUCAGUUUUGUAAAACAUGGAUG
rnacentral:lncRNA from 1 species